rnacentral:rRNA from 1 species
GACGAACGCUGGCGGCGUGCUUAACACAUGCAAGUCGAACGAAGUGGCGAACGGGUGAGUAACGCGUAAUCAACCUGCCCUUCAGAGGGGGACAACAGUUGGAAACGACUGCUAAUACCGCAUACUGAAGGAGGGGAUUGCGUCGGAUUAGCUAGGUGGAGGGGUAACGGCCCACCAAGGCGAGGAUCAGUAGCCGGUCGGAGAGGAUGAACGGCAACAUGGGGACUGAGACACGGCACAGACGACUACGGGAGGCAGAAGUGGGGAAUAUUGGACAAUGGACCAAAGUCUGAUCCAGCAAUUCUGUGUGCAAGAUUAAGUUGUUCGGAAUGUAAAGUGCUUUCAGUUGGGAAGCGGUACCAACAGAAGAAGUGACGGCUAAAUACGUGCCAGCAGCCGCGGUAAUAC